rnacentral:rRNA from 1 species
AGUGAACGCUGGCGGUAGGCCUAACACAUGCAAGUCGAACGGCAGCACAGUAAGAGCUUGCUCUUACGGGUGGCGAGUGGCGGACGGGUGAGGAAUACAUCGGAAUCUACUUUUUCGUGGGGGAUAACGUAGGGAAACUUACGCUAAUACCGCAUACGACCUACGGGUGAAAGCAGGGGAUCUUCGGACCUUGCGCGAUUGAAUGAGCCGAUGUCGGAUUAGCUAGUUGGCGGGGUAAAGGCCCACCAAGGCGACGGUCCGUAGCUGGUCUGAGAGGAUGAUCAGCCACACUGGAACUGAGACACGGUCCAGACUCCUACGGGAGGCAGCAGUGGGGAAUAUUGGACAAUGGGCGCAAGCCUGAUCCAGCCAUACCGCGUGGGUGAAGAAGGCCUUCGGGUUGUAAAGACCUUUUGUUGGGAAAGAAAAGCAGCAGGUUAAUACCCCGCUGUUCUGACGGUACCCAAAGAAUAAGCACCGGCUAACUUCGUG